rnacentral:rRNA from 1 species
ACGCUGGCGGCGUGCCUAAUACAUGCAAGUAGAACGCUGAAGGAGGAGCUUGCUUCUCUGGAUGAGUUGCGAACGGGUGAGUAACGCGUAGGUAACCUGCCUGGUAGCGGGGGAUAACUAUUGGAAACGAUAGCUAAUACCGCAUAACAGUAGAUGUUGCAUGACAUUUGCUUAAAAGGUGCAAUUGCAUCACUACCAGAUGGACCUGCGUUGUAUUAGCUAGUUGGUGGGGUAACGGCUCACCAAGGCGUCGAUACAUAGCCGACCUGAGAGGGUGAUCGGCCACACUGGGACUGAGACACGGCCCAGACUCCUACGGGAGGCAGCAGUAGGGAAUCUUCGGCAGUGGACGGAAGUCUGACCGAGCAACGCCGCGUGAGUGAAGAAGGUUUUCGGAUCGUAAAGCUCUGUUGUAAGAGAAGAACAGGUGUGAGAGUGGAAAGUUCACACUGUGACGGUAUCUUACCAGAAAGGGACGGCUAACUACGUGCCAGCAGCCGCGGUAAUACGUAGGUCCCGAGCGUUGUCCGGAUUUAUUGGGCGUAAAGCGAGCGCAGGCGGUUAGAUAAGUCUGAAGUUAAAGGCUGUAGCUUAACCAUAGUACGCUUUGGAAACUGUUUAACUUGAGUGCAAGAGGGGAGAGUGGAAUUCCAUGUGUAGCGGUGAAAUGCGUAGAUAUAUGGAGGAACACCGGUGGCGAAAGCGGCUCUCUGGCUUGUAACUGACGCUGAGGCUCGAAAGCGUGGGGAGCAAACAGGAUUAGAUACCCCUGGUAGUCCACGCCGUAAACGAUGAGUGCUAGGUGUUAGACCCUUUCCGGGGUUUAGUGCCGCAGCUAACGCAUUAAGCACUCCGCCUGGGGAGUACGACCGCAAGGUUGAAACUCAAAGGAAUUGACG